rnacentral:rRNA from 1 species
UACGUAGGGGGCUAGCGUUGUCCGGAAUCAUUGGGCGUAAAGCGCGUGUAGGCGGUUCGGUAAGUCCGCUGUGAAAGUCGGGGGCUCAACCCUCGGAUGCCGGUGGAUACUGUCGGACUAGAGUGCGGAAGAGGCGAGUGGAAUUCCUGGUGUAGCGGUGAAAUGCGCAGAUAUCAGGAGGAACACCAACGGCGAAGGCAGCUCGCUGGGACGGUACUGACACUGAGGCGCGAAAGCGUGGGGAGCGAACAGG